rnacentral:rRNA from 1 species
GGCGAGUGAAGCGGCAAAGCUCAAAUUUGAAAUCUGGUACCUUCGGUGCCCGAGUUGUAAUUUGUAGAAGGUAACUUUGGGGCUGGUCCUUGUCUAUGUUCCUUGGAACAGGACGUCAUAAAGGGUGAGAAUCCCGUGUGGCGAGGAUCCCAGUUCUUUGUAAAGUGCUUUCGAAAAGUCGAGUUGUUUGGGAAUGCAGCUCUAAGUGGGUGGUAAAUUCCAUCUAAAGCUAAAUAUUGGCGAAAGACCGAUAGCGAACAAGUACAGUGAUGGAAAGAUGAAAAGAACUUUGAAAAGAGAGUGAAAAAGUACGUGAAAUUGUUGAAAGGGAAGGGCAUUUGAUCAGACAUGGUGUUUUGCGCCCUCUGCUCCUUGUGGGUGGGGGAAUCUCGCAGCUCACUGGGCCAGCAUCAGUUUUGGCGGCAGGAUAAAUCUGCAGGAAUGUAGCUUGCCUCGGUAAGUGUUAUAUCCUGUAAAAAUACUGCCAGCUGGGACUGAGGACUGCGACUUUACGUCAAGGAUGCUGGCAUAAUGGUUAUAUGCCGCCCGUCUUGAACCGGGAAACCAAAA